rnacentral:rRNA from 1 species
CACUCCUGCGGGAGGCAGCAGUGGGGAAUUUUGGACAAUGGGCGAAAGCCUGAUCCAGCCAUGCCGCGUGCAGGAUGAAGGCCUUCGGGUUGUAAACUGCUUUUGUACGGAACGAAACGGCCUUUUCUAAUAAAGAGGGCUAAUGACGGUACCGUAAGAAUAAGCACCGGCUAACUACGUGCCAGCAGCCGCGGUAAUACGUAGGGUGCAAGCGUUAAUCGGAAUUACUGGGCGUAAAGCGUGCGCAGGCGGUUAUGUAAGACAGUUGUGAAAUCCCCGGGCUCAACCUGGGAACUGCAUCUGUGACUGCAUAGCUAGAGUACGGUAGAGGGGGAUGGAAUUCCGCGUGUAGCAGUGAAAUGCGUAGAUAUGCGGAGGAACACCGAUGGCGAAGGCAAUCCCCUGGACCUGUACUGACGCUCAUGCACGAAAGCGUGGGGAGCAAACAGGAUUAGAAACCCGGGUAGUCCCA